GAUGAACGCUGGCGGCGUGCCUAAUACAUGCAAGUCGAGCGAACGGACGAGAAGCUUGCUUCUCUGAUGUUAGCGGCGGACGGGUGAGUAACACGUGGAUAACCUACCUAUAAGACUGGGAUAACUUCGGGAAACCGGAGCUAAUACCGGAUAAUAUUUUGAACCGCAUGGUUCAAAAGUGAAAGACGGUCUUGCUGUCACUUAUAGAUGGAUCCGCGCUGCAUUAGCUAGUUGGUAAGGUAACGGCUUACCAAGGCAACGAUGCAUAGCCGACCUGAGAGGGUGAUCGGCCACACUGGAACUGAGACACGGUCCAGACUCCUACGGGAGGCAGCAGUAGGGAAUCUUCCGCAAUGGGCGAAAGCCUGACGGAGCAACGCCGCGUGAGUGGUGAAGGUCUUCGGAUCGUAAAACUCUGUUAUUAGGGAAGAACAUAUGUGUAAGUAACUGUGCACAUCUUGACGGUACCUAAUCAGAAAGCCACGGCUAACUACGUGCCAGCAGCCGCGGUAAUACGUAGGUGGCAAGCGUUAUCCGGAAUUAUUGGGCGUAAAGCGCGCGUAGGCGGUUUUUUAAGUCUGAUGUGAAAGCCCACGGCUCAACCGUGGAGGGUCAUUGGAAACUGGAAAACUUGAGUGCAGAAGAGGAAAGUGGAAUUCCAUGCGUAGCGGUGAAAUGCGCAGAGAUAUGGAGGAACACCAGUGGCGAAGGCGACUUUCUGGUCUGUAACUGACGCUGAUGUGCGAAAGCGUGGGGAUCAAACAGGAUUAGAUACCCUGGUAGUCCACGCCGUAAACGAUGAGUGCUAAGUGUUAGGGGGUUUCCGCCCCUUAGUGCUGCAGCUAACGCAUUAAGCACUCCGCCUGGGGAGUACGACCGCAAGGUUGAAACUCAAAGGAACUGACGGGGACCCGCACAAGCGGUGGAGCAUGUGGUUUAAUUCGAAGCAACGCGAAGAACCUUACCAAAUCUUGACAUCCUUUGACAACUCUAGAGAUAGAGCCUUCCCCUUCGGGGGGGCAAAGUGACAGGUGGUGCAUGGUUGUCGUCAGCUCGUGUCGUGAGAUGUUGGGUUAAGUCCCGCAACGAGCGCAACCCUUAAGCUUAGUUGCCAUCAUUAAGUUGGGCACUCUAAGUUGACUGCCGGUGACAAACCGGAGGAAGGUGGGGAUGACGUCAAAUCAUCAUGCCCCUUAUGAUUUGGGCUACACACGUGCUACAAUGGACAAUACAAAGGGCAGCGAAACCGCGAGGUCAAGCAAAUCCCAUAAAGUUGUUCUCAGUUCGGAUUGUAGUCUGCAACUCGACUACAUGAAGCUGGAAUCGCUAGUAAUCGUAGAUCAGCAUGCUACGGUGAAUACGUUCCCGGGUCU
rnacentral:rRNA from 1 species